rnacentral:rRNA from 1 species
UACAGAGGGGGCGAGCGUUGUUCGGAAUUACUGGGCGUAAAGGGCGCGUAGGUGGCCUGUUAAGUCGAACGUGAAAUCCCCGGGCUCAACCCGGGAACUGCGUCCGAGACUGGCAGGCUCGAAUCCGGGAGAGGGAUGUGGAAUUCCAGGUGUAGCGGUGAAAUGCGCAGAUAUCAGGAGGAACACCGGUGGCGAAGGCGGAUCUCUGGGCCAUUACUGACGCUGAGGAGCGAAAGCGUGGGGAGCGAACAGG